UGGGGAAUUUUGGACAAUGGGCGCAAGCCUGAUCCAGCAAUGCCGCGUGUGUGAAGAAGGCCUUCGGGUUGUAAAGCACUUUUGUCCGGAAAGAAAUCCGUCUGGCUAAUACCCGGACGGGAUGACGGUACCGGAAGAAUAAGCACCGGCUAACUACGUGCCAGCAGCCGCGGUAAUACGUAGGGUGCGAGCGUUAAUCGGAAUUACUGGGCGUAAAGCGUGCGCAGGCGGUCUUGCAAGACAGUGGUGAAAUCCCCGGGCUCAACCUGGGAACUGCCAUUGUGACUGCAAGGCUGGAGUACGGCAGAGGGGGAUGGAAUUCCGCGUGUAGCAGUGAAAUGCGUAGAUAUGCGGAGGAACACCGAUGGCGAAGGCAGUCCCCUGGGCCUGUACUGACGCUCAUGCACGAGAGCGUGGGGAGCAAACA
rnacentral:rRNA from 1 species